GAGAUGGAGUCUCUCUCUGCAGCCCAGGCUGGAGUGCAGUGGGACAAUCUUGGCUCACUGCAAGCUCUGCCUCCUGGGUUCACGCCAUUCUCCUGCCUCCGCCUCCUGGGUAGCUGGGACCACAGGCACAUGCCACCACACGUAGCUAAUUUUUUGUAUUUUUUAGUAGAGGAGGGGUUUCACCGUAUUAGCCAGGAUGAUCUCGAUCUCCUGACCUCAUGAUCCGCCUGCCUCGGCCUCCCUAAGAGCUGGGAGGCUGAGGCGGGUGAUCACUCAAGGUCAGGAGUUUGAGACCAGCCUGGCCAACAUGGUGAAACCCCAUCUCUACUAAAAACUAGUCAGGUGUGGUGGCGUGUGCCUGUAGUCCCAGCUACUCAGGAGGCUGAGGCAGGAGAAUCGCUUGAACCCAGGAGGCAGAGGCUGCAGUGAGCCGAGAUCGUGCCAUUGCACUCCAGCCUGGGCAACAGAGUGAGACUCCAUCUCAAAAAUAAAAAUAAAAAUGUAGAAAAGGUACAGUAAAAAAUAUGGUAUUAUAAUCUUUUGUUCUUUCUUUCUUUCUCUUUUUUUAAAAGACCAAGGCCUUGCCCCGUUGCCUAGGCUGGAGUGCAGUGUCGUAUUUGCAGCUCACCACAGCCUCGACCUCUUGGGCUGGAGCGAUCCUCCCAAGUCAGCCUUCCUAGUAGCUGGGAUCACAGGCAUGCACCACCAUGCCUGGCUAAUUUUUAAAGUACAGUUUUCUAAUCUUAUGGGACCGUGGUCAUAUACGUGGUCUGCUGUUGACUGAAAUGUCAUUAUGUGUUGAGUGACUAGCUAAUAAAAGUCACAGCAAAAGGAGAGGCUUCAGCAGGGAGGGGAAGAGUAAUGUUUAUCCCAACAGGACGAGGUACUGUUGAUAGGAUAAAGUCAACAGAACAGAAGCUACUAUUUCUUUUUAAGGGAAACAAGAUGGCAAACGAAGGGUGGGUCAAGAGGCAUGGCUUUCUCUUCAAUUCUACCUCCCCUUGCUCACACGACCAACAUCAACCCCAAAGAGGCCAGUGGCAUUUAAGGGCAGAAGAAGUAAACUUCAGGCCGGGCGUGGUGGCUCACACCUGUAAUCCCAGCACUUUGGGAGGCUGAGGUGGGCGGAUCACCUGAGGUCAGGAGUUUGAGACCAGACUGGCCAACAUGGUGAAACCCUGUCUCUGCUAAAAAUACAAAAAUUAGGCCGGGCACGGUGGCUCAUGCCUGUGAUCCCAGUACUUUGGGAGGCCGAGGAGGGCAGAUCAUGAGGUCAGGAGAUCGAGACCAUCCUGGCUAACACGGUGAAGCCACAUCUCUACUAAAAAUAAAAAAAUUAGCUGGGUGUACUGGUGCAUGCCUGUAGUCCUAGCUACUUGGGAGGCUGAGGCAGGAAAAUCGCUUGAAUCCGGGAGGCGAAGGUUGCAGUGAGCCGAGAUCACGCCACUGUACUCCAAUCUGGGCAACAGAGUGAGACUCUGUCUCAAAAAAACAAAAAACAAAAAACAAAAAAAAAUAAAUUAGCCAGGGAUGGCGGUGGGUACCUGUAAUCCCAGCUACUCAGGAGGCUGAGGCAGGAUAAUUGCUUGAACCCAGAAAACGGAGGUUGCAGUGAGCUAAGAUCACGCCACUGUACUCCAGCCUGGGUGACAGAGCAAGACUCUGUCUCAAAAAAAAAAAAAAAAAAAAAAAAAAAAACCACAAAGUACACUGCAGAGAUGUUUGCUGAGAGGAGGAAGGGAAUGGGGCUCCCAGGGAAUACCCAUUGUGGGAGACCAGGUGACCAGGGUGCCUGGUUCUGGCACAGACCCUGAUUGACACCCACAGAUGAAUCACACCCUCCCUGAGCCUCGGUUUCUCCACCUGCAGACAGGCUUCAUCUGCUGGAGGGGGGAAGGGCCCCGGGCAGUCCCUGGGAGACGGGGCCUGCCCACCCUGCCGCUCUCCUUACCAACACCUGCUCGCUCCGAGGCCACGAUCCCAACACACAGCCGGUCAUUGAACACGGCUGCCGCCGACAGGGUCUGCUUCGGGACCCGGUAGUGACCUGCCAGGUAGGCUUGGAUGGCCUCGAGGGGUGCCUGGGGGGUGACGAAGACCUUGUGCUGGCUGAAGGCAGAGGGGAGGUAGCAGUGCUCCCAGUCCCCAUCACAGACCAUGACGAGCUGGUAGUCUUCUCGGUGCUGCUGCGUGCACAGAUUGUGGAAAAGCUCCUCCGCUUGGCGUGCCACCUCGUAGCUCAGCUGAUCUGCGAACAGCAGGCUGUAGACCUUGUGCCCCAGGGAGCCCAGGGUCAGGCAGCGGCGCAGCAACAGUGCCACCUCCUCAAAGGUGGUUGCCGGGGUGCAGAGCAGCACCUCAUCGUAAGUGGGCAGGGGCUGGCUUGGGGUUUGCAUGUAGACAGCCAGGG
rnacentral:lncRNA from 1 species